rnacentral:rRNA from 1 species
GAGUGAACGCUGGCGGUAGGCCUAACACAUGCAAGUCGAACGGCAGCACAGAGGAGCUUGCUCCUUGGGUGGCGAGUGGCGGACGGGUGAGGAAUACAUCGGAAUCUACUUUUUCGUGGGGGAUAACGUAGGGAAACUUACGCUAAUACCGCAUACGACCUACGGGUGAAAGCAGGGGACCUUCGGGCCUUGCGCGAUUGAAUGAGCCGAUGUCGGAUUAGCUAGUUGGCGGGGUAAAGGCCCACCAAGGCGACGAUCCGUAGCUGGUCUGAGAGGAUGAUCAGCCACACUGGAACUGAGACACGGUCCAGACUCCUACGGGAGGCAGCAGUGGGGAAUAUUGGACAAUGGGCGCAAGCCUGAUCCAGCCAUACCGCGUGGGUGAAGAAGGCCUUCGGGUUGUAAAGCCCUUUUGUUGGGAAAGAAAUCCAGCCGGCUAAUACCUGGUUGGGAUGACGUACCCAAAGAAUAAG